CCUGGCGGCCGUAGCGCGGUGGUCCCACCUGACCCCAUGCCGAACUCAGAAGUGAAACGCCGUAGCGCCGAUGGUAGUGUGGGGUCUCCCCAUGCGAGCGUAGGGAACUGCCAGGC
rnacentral:rRNA from 1 species